rnacentral:rRNA from 1 species
AGCGAACGCUGGCGGCAGGCUUAACACAUGCAAGUCGAGCGGCCGUAGCAAUACGGCAGCGGCAGACGGGAGAGUAACACGUGGGAGCGUACCCUUCAGUACGGAACAACCAAGGGAAACUUUGGCUAAUACCGUAUACGUCCGUAAGGAGAAAGAUUUAUCGCUGAAGGAUCGGCCCGCGUCUGAUUAGCUAGUUGGUGAGGUAACGGCUCACCAAGGCGACGAUCAGUAGCUGGUCUGAGAGGAUGAUCAGCCUCACUGGGACUGAGACACGGCCCAGAGUCCUACGGGAGGCAGCAGUGGAGAAUAUUGGACAAUGGGCGCAAGCCUGAUCCAGCCAUGCCGCGUGGAUGAUGAAGGCCCUAGGGUUGUAAAGUCCUUUUAACGGGGAAGAUAAUGACGGUACCCGUAGAAUAAGCCCCGGCUAACUUCGUGCCAGCCGCCGCCGUAACAC